rnacentral:rRNA from 1 species
CUACGGGACGCAGCAGUGGGGAAUAUUGCACAAUGGGCGAAAGCCUGAUGCAGCAACGCCGCGUGAGGGACGACGGCCUUCGGGUUGUAAACCUCUUUUAGCAGGGAAGAAGCGAAAGUGACGGUACCUGCAGAAAAAGCACCGGCUAACUACGUGCCAGCAGCCGCGGUAAUACGUAGGGUGCAAGCGUUGUCCGGAAUUAUUGGGCGUAAAGAGCUCGUAGGCGGUUUGUCGCGUCUGCUGUGAAAAUCCGAGGCUCAACCUCGGACCUGCAGUGGGUACGGGCAAACUAGAGUGCGGUAGGGGAGAUUGGAAUUUCUGGUGUAGCGGUGGAAUGCGCAGAUAUCAGGAGGAACACCAAUGGCGAAGGCAGAUCUCUGGGCCGUAACUGGCGCUGAGGAGCGAAAGCGUGGGGAGCGAACAGGAUUAGAUACCCGGGUAGUC